UCCAGGGUGGUGUAAUUGGUAGCACGCUAGGCUGUGGACCUAGAGAUCCUGGUUCGAAUCCAGGCCCGGGACCA
rnacentral:tRNA from 1 species